AUGAAGAGACACCAUACUUUGGAAAAAUCUAGAAGACUCUGGCUGGUUGCAGCCCAAUUUAUGUCACAUUCAGGGGUGCCAGGCAUGUUCUCUGCUUCAAGAGGACUCUCUUGCCCUUCUCUUGGGGAAAAUCUUCGCUGGCCCACAUGUUCUCUGGAUGGCCUGCUUUCCGUGACAAUUAUAGGAGCAUCAUGCACUGAGGACCUGCUGGAUGCCAGGCACUUCACAUACAUCAUCAAUUUAAUUCUCCCAAUAUCCUUUCAAGGUGGGGAGUAUUUCCCCCAUUUUACAGAUGAGGAAACUGAGGCUCAGAAAGAUGAAAGGAUGUGCCUAAUAUUACCCAUCUAGGAGGUUGUAAGAUCAGGACCCUGACUCAAGUUGGCCUGGCUUCUCUGCCUCUUGCCACCUUUGAUUCCUGAGACCACCAACCACUCCCCGCAGUCUGGUCCAGCUGGAGGGAACUGGUCCAAGGAGCAGCAGCUUGAAGGGUACAUCAGAGAGAUGGCAGUGAGGCCCAGAGAACGAGAAGGCUUGGGAACAAGGAGAUGGGCCCUAGUGAGGACCUUCAAGUGUUUCCAGGGCUGUCGUGCAGAGGCCCGCUGGCCUCCAUCUGAAAUAAGAAGCAGUGUGAAGGAUUUGCGUGAGACCACCAGAAGGACUUUCUGGCCUAGAGGGGUGUAGAACUCUGGAAUGGGCAGAAGAGGGAAGGUGUAAAGACAAAUGCUUUGGUGAAGCCAUCCUGUGGUAGUUCCAAAGCAGCUGACUUGCUGACCCAAGACGGGGAGGCCAGAGGUCAUCUCAGAACACCCCCUGGCAUCUGAAAGAGGCUGGAAUCCCCUGCCUGGGGGGCAGUUGGGGAUCUUGAGAGCUGGAGUUUUCUGGAUCCAAGGAAAGGCAAAUCACAGGGACUGUGCUGGGAUGCUGAUGCUCAAGCUAGGAUGCUGGGAGCCCACCUCAGGAUUCAAAAGUAGGGGCUGGGAGAUGCCAGGGUGUAUGCUCUGGGGGACAGGGAGGUGGUAGCUGCAGGAACCAUGAGGGAAGUCUGCCCCUCUCCCCAGGCCGGGCAGUUCCUGAGGCCAGAAGCCUGCCAUGCCCCUGGGGAUGCUCAGAGGGCAGUGGGCCGAGCUGGAGUCUGAGCCUGAGCCCUAGGCCUGUGACCAGGUGGCUCAGACCUCUGGCCAGUCCAGAGCUGCUGGGUGAGGAGGGCUGGGGGUGGGGCGGGUGGGGGUGGAGAUGGGGAGGUCCAGGUGGGCCCCAGGAGAGGGCGGAGCCUCUGGUGUCCCCUCUGGCCUGCUGGCUUCCCUCCUCUGCCUUUGAUGCCUCUCACCACAGACUUCAAACAGGCUGCCCUCUGCUUCUGCUGCUGCCCGCCGCCCUUAAUUAGAGCCUCUCUUGGCUCCCUCUCGCCCUCACUGCCUUCCCUGCCCUCCAUCUGGCCCUGGCUCUCUGUCUCGCCUUUAUCUCUCUACUUUCUCUGUGUCUCCAUCUCUCUCUUCCCCUCUGUUCCUGGUUCUCUGGCUCCCUGUGUCUUUCUGAUCCUCUAUCUAGAUCAGGACCAUCUCUAAACGGGUCCCCCCUGCCUCCCAGGCUGCAGCCUCUCCCUCUCUCCCCUUCCCUCUGUCUCCUGUCUGUUCUCUCAGUCCGUCCACUUGACUUUUCUGCCAUAUCCUCUCUCCAUCUCUGUCAAGCUCAGUGCCUGUCUCUCUCCUUUUCUUUCUCCCUUCCAUUUAAUGUGAUCUGCACCCCCUCCCCACAUUGGAGGCUGCCCUCAUAUGUGUCCCUCCUGCCCAGAACCUGGGACUGGGGCCUCCACUCUCCUCCCCUGGUUGAGACUGGCCCUGGUGCAGGCUGGCCGGCAGCAAGCUGAGCCAGCUCCAGGCUGGCCACCUCCUCCCUGCUUGGGGCCCUCUGGCCUCCCAGCACAGCUCCAGUGCCUCCGACCCCUCCCUGGACUUCCUUCAGGCCCUUCUCGGGUCCGGUUUUUCUGGCCAGGCUGACCCCCUCACUCAGCAAGCCCCUUUCGUGGCCCCAUGGCAGGUAGUGCCAUGUCUGUUCUCUUUCCCAGGAGAAGAGGAGUCUUGCUCAGGAGCCUCUCCAUGGCCUGAUAUGGGAAAUAGGGGAUUAAGAACCCUACAGAUCCCCACCACCCAAGGCACUGGGGCUUGGGCUGGACUGACCCUGCUAGGGCCCGGGCAUCUCUGGCAGUGUCUGCCAGGCAAGAGUAGGGGUUCCACCUGCACCAGAGAGGAGGCUCACACUCCCCUCCCGCCCACCCCAGGAUACCUGCUGCUGCAGACCCAGGCCCUCUUGGAGAGACUGGCCUGGAGGGGCAAGGGCCUUGGGCAGUGCACGGUCUGUAUGCAAGUAGACCCCCAGGGCUGAGAGAGCUGGGUUCGAGCCUUCCCUUGGCAUUUCAGUUCUGGACUGGCCCAUGGCCUCCCUGGGCUGGCUUCCCAAGGACGCUGUGAGGAGGGUGAUAAUAAAAAGACAUGACUAGCCCA
rnacentral:lncRNA from 1 species